rnacentral:misc_RNA from 1 species
AAGUCGUAACAACGUUUCCGUAGGUGAGGAUCAUUAACACGUAUCCAAACGUUAAACCACCCUGUGAACCUUCACCUGUACUCGUCCGUCCGUUAGAAAAAGCAGCAAUCCCUGGUAAGUCUGCAAGGAGCGUGCAUGUUGUGCGAAGCAAGUGGCCUGGCAUCCCCAAGCAGUUAGUGUCUGAAAGUGUCAUCACGAUCGUUGGAGCCCACCGGGUCACUGGGCGCAAGCCCCCCUUUCACAAACGCUGCCAAUCGCGGCCGCGAGAAAACGCAGUCGACAAAAAACCGAACAACUGUUAACAAUGGGUAUCUUGGUUCUC